rnacentral:sRNA from 1 species
CAUGGCCAGGGCCCGCAGGCUGGAGCUGGCCGAGGCUCUGGCGCUGGGGCCAGGCUGGAGGCAUGCCUGCUAUGCGCUCCUGCACGCGCCGGACCCUGGAAUUCUCUUUGGCCGCCUCCCUCUGCGCUACGCCAUACUGGUGAUGCAGAUGCGCUUCGAUGGGCGCCUGGGCUUCCCUGGCGGAUUCGUGGACUCGCAAGACAGCAGCCUGGAGGACGGGCUGAACCGUGGUCUGCUGGAACAGCUGGGCGAGGCGGCGGCCGCCUUCCGCGUGGAGCGCCCUGACUACCGCAGCUCCCACGCCGGAUCAGGGCCACGCGUUGUGGCCCACUUCUAUUCCAAGUCUCUGACGCUCGAGCAGCUGUCGGCUGUGGAGGCCAGCGCAACAGGCGCCAAGGACCACGGGCUGGAGGGCUGGGCCUGGUGCGAGUGCCCCUGUAUACCCUGCAUGAUGGUGUGGGAGGCCUGCCCAUCUUUCUGGAGAAUUGCUUUAUUGGUGCUGCCCGGGAGCAGUUACUGGAUACCCUCCAGGACUUGGGAGUGGUGGAAGCUGGUGCUUUCUCAGGCCUUCAGAUCCCAGUUCGUCUGAGGCAACCCUCUGUGGACUCAGGGAACCUGAGAU